rnacentral:rRNA from 1 species
UAGGGAAUCUUCGGCAAUGGACGAAAGUCUGACCGAGCAACGCCGCGUGAGUGAAGAAGGUUUUCGGAUCGUAAAACUCUGUUGUUAGAGAAGAACAAGGACGUUAGUAACUGAACGUCCCCUGACGGUAUCUAACCAGAAAGCCACGGCUAACUACGUGCCAGCAGCCGCGGUAAUACGUAGGUGGCAAGCGUUGUCCGGAUUUAUUGGGCGUAAAGCGAGCGCAGGCGGUUUCUUAAGUCUGAUGUGAAAGCCCCCGGCUUAACCGGGGAGGGUCAUUGGAAACUGGGAGACUUGAGUGCAGAAGAGGAGAGUGGAAUUCCAUGUGUAGCGGUGAAAUGCGUAGAUAUAUGGAGGAACACCAGUGGCGAAGGCGGCUCUCUGGUAUGUAACUGACGCUGAGGCUCGAAAGCGUGGGGAGCAAACAGG